rnacentral:rRNA from 1 species
GGCGAACGCUGGCGGCGUGCUUAACACAUGCAAGUCGAACGGACAGGCCCUGCUUUUGUGGGGUGCUCGAGUGGCGAACGGGUGAGUAACACGUGAGUAACCUGCCCUUGACUUUGGGAUAACUUCAGGAAACUGGGGCUAAUACCGGCUAGGAGCUCCUGCUGCAUGGUGGGGGUUGGAAAGUUUCGGCGGUUGGGGAUGGACUCGCGGCUUAUCAGCUUGUUGGUGGGGUAGUGGCUUACCAAGGCUUUGACGGGUAGCCGGCCUGAGAGGGUGACCGGCCACAUUGGGACUGAGAUACGGCCCAGACUCCUACGGGAGGCAGCAGUGGGGAAUAUUGCACAAUGGGCGGAAGCCUGAUGCAGCAACGCCGCGUGCGGGAUGACGGCCGUCGGGUUGUAAACCGCUUUCGCCUGUGACGAAGCGUGAGUGACGGUAAUGGGUAAAGAAGCACCGGCUAACUACGUG